rnacentral:pre_miRNA from 1 species
UUGAAGAAUUUGAAGACUUCAAUUUGCAAACUUGAUUUAUUUGAAGACUUCAACUUGCAGACUAGAAGAAUUUGAAGACAUCAACU